UAAAACAAACAUAGCAACAUCAGGUACUUCCUGGCCUCUCUGAGGACAGUGGUACUGUUACAGGUAUAUAUACCUCAAACAAUGGGGAAUUUGCAGUGCUAGAAGACAAGCUCAAUAAACCCUGUUACUGAAAAUGGGAAUUCCCUUCUGAUGUUGGCAGUCAGGAGAUGCUAGAACUUAUUCAUUUGUUCCCCAGGGUUAUUUCUCAAAAGCCAAAGCCUCACUUUGUUCAGCUAGAUCUGGGAGCAAUUGCUGAUCAACAAUAUCAUGAGUAGCCACCAAACAUCAGCUGCCAUGCAACCUCACAAAAUAUAGCCAUUUUGGAACAGGGAGAAUAUGGGUUGGAUUGAAUAAAAAAAAUGCAGGAUGGAAGGGAUCUUGGUGGUUUCGAUUCAAACUUUGGUGGUGCUGCUUGUUUGGGCAAGUCUAAUAGUAGCUGCCAAUCACCCUCUUCUGUUUAUCUGUCCUUGUGCAUUUUGCUCACAAGCAUUUUUGCUGCAACAAAGGAGAAACAAACAGACACCUGUCAUUUGGAUAUAUGCAAAUGAUGGAAGAUGAGAUGGCCAUCCUUUAUUAAUUUGGAAUCUAAGCACAUAAAUACAGCUCAAGGAUUAGAGAAGCUGCUAUGGGCCAUUCCAAUCAAUGGUGUACUAUGAUAUUGUUGUAAAUGACAUCAGUGUGGAAAAAGAAUCAAUGCUGUUGUUGGGUUUAUCAAGUCAAGAGGGAGAUCAGGAUCUGGAGAUAGGUAUUCAGGCAUCCAUACAGA
rnacentral:sRNA from 1 species